rnacentral:lncRNA from 1 species
CCAUUCAACUGAUGGCAGAAAAGAAAGGUACUGGUCUGACACACAAAACCCAAUUCAUAUGCUAGAGCUAGACCUAAAGUAAUGAUCUACAAGCAGUGAUUGAAGAAGAUCCAGCAUGGCUAAGCAAUCGUCAUCUGCUAGUUUGAGAAGCUGUCAGGAGAAAACAGUGUUACAAAAGCAUUAAUACAAAGAGAUUUAGUUUCGAGGUAUCAUCAAAGAUCUUAAAAGUCAUAAGAUUUAAUACGAAUGAUUACACUACACCCUUUAGAAUUCUUUUAACCACUAAGAAUUAUUUCUCCAAACACAGUUUACAUAAAUGCAUAUUCCAUAAGUAGCUCAUCAGGAUCUAAAUAAUAAAUAAAAAGGUGCUGAGAUGCUGAAGUACAUCCAUACAUGCACUUUCGUGUCAUUUUGUGGGAUAACAAAGUAUUCUUAGUGGAAAAUUCAGAACAACAGAAUUACCAACUGUAAAGAGAUUAAUGAGGGCUCAUUUUGAGCAAUCAAUGUCCACAGU